CUUCCUAAAGCCGUCCAGGCAAAUACAUUUGUAAUAUUUGUGUGCUUAACUAUGCAUGUCUUCUACAGGGUUCGCUGGCUGCUGUGACACUCAAUCAAAGCGCCUAGAGUGGGCUGGCCGUGACCAGAGUGGGCAUGAAGCAGAGCAAGUACCAAGGAGAGCGCUGGGUGAUCACCAGAAUUGGAAAUAGAACAGCCAUUUGGAGGAUCUGGGCAGGAAGCAGAGCACAGCUUUGGAGCCUUCUUUAGGGAAAUCGAGUUAUGGAUUUAUGGUCCCGGUCAAGCUCAGCCCAGCCCCAGCCAGGGGCGGGAUCGGCAGCAAGAGUUCUUUCUGGUGGUGGCGGCAGCAGCAGCAGCGACAGCGGUAGCAGCGGCAGAGGCAGCGGCAGCUUGGCCCUCUGACUCUCUUCGGUGACGGGUAUUCUUGGGUGGAUAAUACGGAUUACGUUGUUAUUGCUUAAGAAUACGCGUAGUCGAGGAGAGUACCAGCGGCAGGCGGGCAGCAGCCGCCCCUGCCAGCCCACCAGCUGGCCACUAAAAGCUCCCGGUUGCCAAGAAUCGUCCUUUUUGCUGGAUAUAGUCAUCCAAAGGCCAGCUGUGGAACUGUGUGAUGGACAGAUGGCCACAGAAACAAAAGUAUUCAAAGCUUUCUUGCUGAAUAAAGGAAGACAGAUUGGUUCUUGGAAUAGCUCAGAGUCAAAAUAAAAUUCUCAGUUUUACAAAGCUCUUGCUUACUUCUGCUGUGCUAUAUGUGACAGUUGUAUGGGGUUCUGCCACAGGCAGGCAUAUGCAGAUUACCUGUAAGUGUUUAUCAUUUUGGUGGAUCUAAGGGUGAGUCAUCACUGUGUGGUCACCAUACUUACAAAAACAAAAACGUAUGUUAUUACAUAGGAAAGACUGUUGUGUUUGAUCUGAUAGUCUAUCACAACUGGAUAUUAACUAGGAAAAUAUAUGGAAUAAGUAUUUUGUUUGUCAAGACAAGAAUGUUCCUUUUCACCAUAUCAUUUACAGGAAAAAACUAUUGUUUUUUGUUAAGUAUAAAUGAUACCUCUAAAUAAGUAUACCCAUUAAAUUCUUGAUUUCUCAAGUAGGCAAAAUAAAACAAUUGGAAAUGUAAAGGGAAAGAGAAAAAGAAGGAAGGAAGAACGAAGUAAAGGUUAUUAUUUUCUUCCCAUCUAUAUAUUGAUGCUGGAUUUCAGGUAAAACACUGGCCAUGUUGGCUGAGACAAAGGACACCUAAGACAAUAAGCUUUCUGCCCUCAGAAAGAUGUUUUAGGAUUUCACAUAAAUUUGCUCAGACCUGGAAUACUUGAAAAUGUGGAGAGGAUAGCCUUCAAUCCUCAAACCAGCUAAUUAAGGUGCCUCUGAGCAGCAUACAGUUUUAAGUUAACAGUAAUUAAUACAGCCAGCUUGGAACCUCGGGAAGCUAAAGCCAGCGAGUGCUUUUUGGUUCACUUGAGAGGAUACAGUUUGAUUGCUGGCGCCAGUAAACAGGUUGGGAAUUGUCAACAUUGUAAUUAGCAGCAAGUUCCUGGAUUCUCAGCCUGCCAGACUAGUGGGCUGGUGCCUAGAGCAGUUGCCCCAUGGGGGAGAGGGAAAAACAAAGGAAGGGAAUUUGAGCAACCUUGUCAUGCUCUGCCAGCAUAUGCCACUGGACCAAUGUUUUUCUUGGCAAAGGUCUAUUUUAAGACAUCUAGCAGUGGUUUCCACAAAAUAUGAAACUCACCAUAGCAACCAAAAUGGCAAGCAUCUCUAGGAACGUUCCCUUCACUGGAUAUCAGGUCAAACUGGGUCCAGAGCUACAUUGCUUUAUGUCCAGGAUCCUCUGGGCUGUGUGCACCAUGGCUAUUAACAGUCUGAUUAAAAGGGUUAAAAUCUGUUUUGGCAGCAAUCCUGAACUUGCCUGCCGAAAAGCCAUCAAAGACUAAGGUUAUACAAACCUUAUUAACCCUUCAUGCAGUACAAAUAAAAAGGAAAUGUCAACUUUAAUACCACCGAGAAUCCAAUCUUCUGUACUUAAGUGAUAAUUUAUGUGUCGUAUUCUUAAUUCAAUGCCAUGGGAUCACUGUGGAGAAGGCUGUUCACAUUUAAAAUUCAAGCAGCCUUUAGGUUGUUUCUAGGAUUGAAAGUACAUUCAUAAAGUUUAUAUGCAAUAUUAUGGGUAGGGUUUGGAAGUAGGAAAGGGAGAGAUGACACUAUCUUAUAAUCUCAAAAAAAUUUAAAGACUAAAAUAAAAAUCCCAUUAAGAAAAAAUCGAUUAGAUACAAUUGUACCUAAGUGAACAAUAAUAAUUAGAGAAGUUUUUGAAUUGUACGUUAUCUCUCUCUCUUUUUCUGCCCCAUCCUCUCUCUCUCUCUCUCUCUCUCUCUCUCUCUCUCUCUCUCUGUGUGAAAUUUCACCAGCUUCAUGGCAACAAAUCAUAUGUAACCUCUGACUAGUCACAGAACAUUCCCCCCUUGAGAAAAGGAAAGCAUGGUAAGAAAUACAUUUACUUUGUAGGUUAAUUUCACCUUUCGGUCUACAAAAGCACAAGGUUGCUUAACAGUGCUAAAAAUUUAUGCAUAAAUCUCCUUCCCCCACAAAUAAAUGCUUGAGGGUUGGGGAGGUAGCUCAGUCAGUGAAGUGUUUGCUUCAUCUUGAGGGGCAGUGACAGGGAGGGCUCUUAGAAGUAGAGCAAUUUUAUAAUCCCAGUUAUGGGGAGGCAGAAAUAGGCAGGUCUCUGUGGGCCUCUUGAGCAUUAACCUUGUCCACUUAGUGAGUUCCAGGCCAGCAAAAGACACUGUCUGUCAAAAAACAAGGUAAAUGAUAGCUGAGGAAGGACACUGACAGUUGAUACCCAGCCUCCACAUGCGUGGAUACUUGCACGCAUGAAAACGUGCACACACAAACACAUUCACAACCCAAAUGCUUAGAAUCCUAUUUAACAUAUUCUCAUUAUCCUCACUGUCACUCUACCUUCAUUAAAAUAUGUGAAGACAUCUUCAUGGAGAUAAACAAGAUGGAGAGAGACAAGCAAAAUAGCACUCUAAUGUAAAAAACAUAAAACAAACAAACAAACAAAAAGGUUCCUAAAUGGAUCAAUGUGCUAUAUUAAGCAGUUGCUCUGUGGUAAUUUUUCCAGGUGGAUUAUAAGAACUGCACACACACACACACACACACCAC